UACGUAGGGUGCGAGCGUUGUCCGGAUUUAUUGGGCGUAAAGAGCUCGUAGGCGGUCUGUCGCGUCGGAUGUGAAAACCCAGGGCUCAACCCUGGGCCUGCAUUCGAUACGGGCAGACUAGAGUACGGCAGGGGAGACUGGAAUUCCUGGUGUAGCGGUGAAAUGCGUAGAUAUCGGAAGGAACACCAGUGGCGAAAGCGGCUUCCUGGUCCAGCACCGACGUUCAGGCACGAAAGCGUGGGGAGCAAACAGG
rnacentral:rRNA from 1 species